ensembl:lncRNA
GGAGAUCCUGGUGUUCUGGAGACGGAAGCAGCGACCCAGCUUUGAGGAGCGGCAGCAGCUUGCCCCACCUGCUUUGGUGCUGCUACGACAAUGGGAUCGUCUGAUUGAAAGGGAUGGAGUUCUGUACCGUCAGGUUCAUCGCCCUGAUGGUGCCGAGGUGGUACUUCAGCUUUUGCUGCCUAGUGCACUAAUUGAGCAGGUGUUGACUCAUGUUCAUCAGGACCACGGCCAUCAAGGUGUGGAAAGGACCCUAGCGCUUCUCCGCUCACGGUGCUACUGGCCAGAUCACUUUGGACGGACCAUUAUUCUGCACUGUCGAGCUCCAAACAACAACUUCACUCUUGUACAGUGGAGCAGAGCUGGUCUGGAGCCAGAACAUGUUGCUGUUUACAAGGGUGGACAGUUCCUUCCAGAUCACCAGCAUCCA